GAUGAACGCUGGCGGCGUGCCUAAUACAUGCAAGUCGAGCGAACAGACGAGGAGCUUGCUCCUCUGACGUUAGCGGCGGACGGGUGAGUAACACGUGGAUAACCUACCUAUAAGACUGGGAUAACUUCGGGAAACCGGAGCUAAUACCGGAUAAUAUAUUGAACCGCAUGGUUCAAUAGUGAAAGACGGCUUUGCUGUCACUUAUAGCUGGAUCCGCGCCGCAUUAGCUAGUUGGUACGGUAACGGCUUACCAAGGCAACGAUGCGUAGCCGACCUGAGAGGGUGAUAGGCCACACUGGAGCGGAGACACGGUCCAGACUCCUACGGGAGGCAGCAGUAGGGAAUCUUCCGCAAUGGGCGAAAGCUUGACGGAGCAACGCCGCGUGAGUGAUGAAGGUCUUCGGAUCGUAAAACUCUGUUAUUAGGGAAGAACAAAUGUGUAAGUAACUAUGCACGUCUUGACGGUACCUAAUCAGAAAGCCACGGCUAACUACGUG
rnacentral:rRNA from 1 species